rnacentral:rRNA from 1 species
CCUACGGGAGGCAGCAGUGGGGAAUAUUGCACAAUGGGCGCAAGCCUGAUGCAGCCAUGCCGCGUGUGUGAAGAAGGCCUUCGGGUUGUAAAGCACUUUCAGCGGGGAGGAAGGCGGUGAGGUUAAUAACCUCAUCGAUUGACGUUACCCGCAGAAGAAGCACCGGCUAACUCCGUGCCAGCAGCCGCGGUAAUACGGAGGGUGUAAGCGUUAAUCGGAAUUACUGGGCGUAAAGCGCACGCAGGCGGUCUGUCAAGUCGGAUGUGAAAUCCCCGGGCUCAACCUGGGAACUGCAUUCGAAACUGGCAGGCUAGAGUCUUGUAGAGGGGGGUAGAAUUCCAGGUGUAGCGGUGAAAUGCGUAGAGAUCUGGAGGAAUACCGGUGGCGAAGGCGGCCCCCUGGACAAAGACUGACGCUCAGGUGCGAAAGCGUGGGGAGCAAACAGGAUUAGAUACCCUUGUAGUC